GUUCUUCAGUGCAGUAACCCCAUCCGUUAUCAUCAAGAUUACCACUAGUGUUAGGGAUAGGAUUGCUGUGGGUUGAAUCUUGCAGACCCAGAUGGUAAGCCAAGGGUUUGAGACCAGAUUCGAGUAUGGAUUUGGAGAUUGAUGAGGCGUAACAGCAAGGAUCGAAUUCAGGCUUCGCUGAUCGCACCCUCCGGUUCGUACGGAUAUGCUUCUCCCUCAUAGUGCAACCCAUAAAGAUUCCGCGUAUAGAAAGAUCAACCUUAUAUAGAGAUUAUAUGUAGAGAUUAUAUGGAUGUAAAUCAAGAUCAAGAAAGAUACUUACAGGUUGGGAAAGGGGAAUUUGAGGGAUUGUUUGAGUUUCG
rnacentral:misc_RNA from 1 species